rnacentral:tRNA from 1 species
AUCCGAGUGCUGGAAUUGGUAGACAGGGAAAAUUUAAGCUUUUCUGAUAUUUAAUCGUAAACGUUCAAGUCGUUUCUCGGAUAC